rnacentral:tRNA from 1 species
GCAGUCGUGGCCGAGUGGUUAAGGCGAUGGACCAGAAAUUCUGCACAGGUUUGAAUCCUGUCGACUGCG